ACACACAGAGAGACACAACGAAUACAAACACGAGGAAGACAAAACAUUCCUCCCAGACACCUCAGAAUUCCCCGGAGAGGAACAAAAGCCGAGCUGCGCUCCUGGACACAGAUCCGCGUGCGUGAGAUCAGCCGUAAAUAUUAAACGGGAUCUCGACAGAAUGUGCUUUUCACCCGAAGACUCAACAAACGAGCAGCCGGACAGCCAGGGGUGAGAUUCGGAUCGUGUCCGACGUGUUAUAGCAGGAGGGCGAUAGCGACUGUUCGGGUCAUUGAAUCUGAGCUGUACAUCAGUCUGAUGCAGAACUCAAACAAACGCCAGCGAAGAGAAAACAAAGAAGACAGAAAGAGAGAGAUGAUGUACAGUAUCAGAUCCAUGACUGUGAACUAUAUACUGACUCAAUUACCCACAACUCUCACCUGUAGAGCCGCUGACAGUCAGGAGAACACAAGUGUCUUUGUGUGGAGGGAGUGAACAGCACCUCCGACACCGGCCCGGGCAGCAACAUUUUCCUAAGAAUGUCCUGGCCCUCCGCCCGGAGGCUCCCUACCACCACCGCUCCAGCACCCAGAAAUAUGACA